rnacentral:rRNA from 1 species
AUGCGCCGGGUGCCGUCGUCCACGACGGCGCUGGCGGCCGCGGUGGCCGCGGCGUCCACGGGCAUGCAGUCCGACGAGGAGGACGAGGACGAGGUCGACGAGGAGGAGAAGGAGAGCGCGGCGCUGCUGUUCACGUCGCGGGUGGGGGACAGGGAGGAGCUGGUGCAGAGCGUGCGGCGGUGCCGGCAGCUCCGCCAGAGGCCGCUCUUCAUCGUGGAGCCAUACUCCAUCAUCGCCACCUGA